CACGUAGGCACCAAGCGUUGUCCGGAUUUAUUGGGCGUAAAGAGCGUGUAGGCGGCCAUACAGGUCCGUUGUGAAAACUCGAGGCUCAACCUCGAGACGUCGAUGGAAACCGUAUGGCUAGAGUCCGGAAGAGGAGAGUGGAAUUCCUGGUGUAGCGGUGAAUGACGCAGAUAUCAGGAAGAACACCCGUGGCGAAAAGCGGCUCUCUGGAACGGUACUGACGCUGAGACGCGAAAGCGUGGGGAGCGAACAGG
rnacentral:rRNA from 1 species